rnacentral:rRNA from 1 species
CCUACGGGAGGCAGCAGUGGGGGAUAUUGCACAAUGGGGGAAACCCUGAUGCAGCGACGCCGCGUGGGCGAAGAAGUAUUUCGGUAUGUAAAGCCCUAUCAGCAGGGAAGAAGAAAUGACGGUACCUGAGUAAGAAGCACCGGCUAAAUACGUGCCAGCAGCCGCGGUAAUACGUAUGGUGCAAGCGUUAUCCGGAUUUACUGGGUGUAAAGGGGGCGCAGACGGCGAUGCAAGCCAGGAGUGAAAGCCCGGGGCCCAACCCCGGGACUGCUCUUGGAACUGCGUGGCUGGAGUGCAGGAGGGGCAGGCGGAAUUCCUGGUGUAGCGGUGAAAUGCGUAGAUAUCAGGAGGAACUCCGAUUGCGAAGGCAGCUCACUGGACUGCAACUGACACUGAGGCUCGAAAGUGUGGGUAUCAAACAGGAUUAGAUACCCCAGUAGUC